rnacentral:pre_miRNA from 1 species
GGCAGUGGGAACAAAUCACAGUGACUGCAGAGUCGGAGAUGUGGACAGAACUCCAGUGUCUGUGAUUUCGUUCUCCACUCUG